GGGUCAGUAGGUUGGUCGUGCCACCGGUACGUACUGGUCUCACUGAUUCCUCCUUCCUGAAGAACCGUAAUGCCAUUAAUUUGGUGUUGCGGGGAAACAGGACUGUUACUUUGAAAAAAUCAGAGUGUUUAAAGCAAGCUAACGCUUGAAUACAUUAGCAUGGAAUAAUGAAAUAGGACGAUCGAUCCUAUUUUGUUGGUUCCUAGGAUUGACGUA
rnacentral:rRNA from 1 species